rnacentral:rRNA from 1 species
UACAGAGGGGGCAAGCGUUGUUCGGAAUUACUGGGCGUAAAGGGCGCGUAGGCGGCCCGCUAAGUCGAACGUGAAAUCCCCCGGCUUAACCUGGGAACUGCGUCUGAUACUGGAAGGCUUGAGGAUGGGAGAGGGAUGUAGAAUUCCAGGUGUAGCGGUGAAAUGCGUAGAUAUCUGGAGGAAUACCGGUGGCGAAGGCGGCAUCCUGGACCAUUACUGACGCUGAGGCGCGAAAGCUAGGGGAGCAAACGGG